rnacentral:rRNA from 1 species
AAGGAAUUUUCGGCAAUGGGCGCAAGCCUGACCGAGCAACGCCGCGUGAGUGAAGAAGGCCCUAUGGGUUGUAAAGCUCUGUUGUAAAGGAAGAACACUAUUGAAGAAUCAGUAGCUGACGGUACUUUACCAGAAAGCCACGGCUAACUUCGUGCCAGCAGCCGCGGUAAUACGUAGGUGGCAAGCGUUAUCCGGAAUUAUUGGGCGUAAAGGGUGCGCAGUCGGCUGAUUAAGUUUGUGGUGAAAGUGCGGGGCUUAACUCCGUAUGGCCAUGAAAACUGGUUAGCUAGAGUGCAGAAGAGGGUAGUGGAAUUCCAUGUGUAGCGGUAAAAUGCGUAGAUAUAUGGAGGAACACCAGUGGCGAAGGCGGCUACCUGGUCUGUAACUGACGAUGAGGCACGAAAGCGUGGGGAGCAAAU